CUUUCUCAACCUGGAAGUGUCUGUGCUAACCUGUGAGAGAGUAAGAGGGAUUUGACCAUCAUCACAUCCAGUUAAGAGAUUUCUACUACACAGCUUUAGAGAUGAUUAAAGACUUCCUAAAGAUGGAAUGUGAAAAUCUGUUGGGUUGCACACAAAGCUCUGGUAUACUCAAUUUGCCUACAAGUUUUAAAAGAAGCAGCCCAGGAUCCCAAAAAGAUGUGAAACAGCGGAAGAGAUAUACACAUUAACUCAUUGCCUUGGGAGAAAAGGCUGGAAAACUGAAGUGUGCCAGUAGGAUUAAAAAUAAAAGAAUCAAAUGACAUACUAAUAGAGCCAAGGACAGGGCUAAAACUGGUGAGGUGCCUGUCUUCUUAUCUUGAUGAAUCAUGAAAGCUUUGACACAUUCGUGUGUUACAUCAACCGAUGAGUCACCCUUAGCGCAAUGCUGUUUGGCGGGCAGAGAAAAACUUUGCAAUCCAUGUUUUCUGCUAUUUGUCACCUUGGCACCAUAUGCUAUUCCUGCAUCUGCCUGAUAAUGGAUUCUGUGGGAAAUGCUGAUGAGAAUCUAGCCUUGCAUCUGCCUGAUAAUGAAUUCUGUGGGAAAUGCUGAUGAGAAUCUAGCCAGGUGAUUCGAUUCAAGCAGGUGAUUUUUCUCAAAGAUGACCAAAACCCAAUCAUUUUAAUACAGUUUCAGUUUUGCAAUCUCGGUUGUGGCUGCUAAACCUCAGGUGAGUGCACAGGUUUCCUGGCACAGGAGUAUGCUCAUGACAGCCCUCAGCCUAUCUCAGCCUUCUCAGCCUUGGGACAGACAGGUAUCAGCAGCACGGGAACUCCCCAAGUCUGGAUUACAAGGACAACCUGGAGUGCACUGCCAUUCUUCCUCACCUACCAGAUUUUUGUAGGACAUAGGGAGCUUGGGAUUCAAAAGAGACUGAAAUAUUUUCAGAAUAAUACAAACUCUUCCUAGUGGGACCUGACACAAUGUUCCUGCGCCCCAAAUAUGCAUAAGUCAGACUGUUCAAGAACGAGGCAUACUGUGAUCCAACCGUUUUAUGCCUCAUUUUUAGAAAUCUAAAUUGUAACUCAAGUCCAUGAGCCAAAGGAACCGCUCCUCUAACCUCCUUUUCUGAAGCUCAGUGUUUUAAACCAAGCUGUCCAUACCCUGAGCACUGACUUGCACUUUACUACUCCUGCCAUCAGGAGAUAAAGCUGAAUUAGGGACUUAUCCAAGAGGGUUUGUGGGUUGUAAAUGACCUUGGUUCUUCACAUCCAUAAAAAGAAUGCCCAUCAAGGUUGUCUCAUCCAACGAAGGCAACACUGAUUACUAGACAUGGCAAAUGCUCUGCAGCCAAAGAUCUGGAAGCCACCCCAGGUCCUCACCUGUCUCCCCAAGAGUCAGCCCAUCACAACAUCCUGUGGUUUUUUUCCUGAGUGAUUUUUCUAGAAUUUGGACCUCUUUUAUAUAUAUAUAUAUCUUUCUUUCUUUCCCUCUUUUAUUUAUUUAUUGUUUGGACAGGGCCUCAUUAUGUAGCCCAGGCUAGAUCCUCCUGACUCAGUUUCCCAAGUGCUAGAAUAACAGGCAUGUUCUACCACACCCCAUUCUGUGAUGCUGUCUAAAUGCAGGCCAGAUGACCGCUGCAUUCCGUCACCUACUUCUGCUUCCUGUCUUGUACUCCUCCACAGCAGCAGAGUGAACUUUAUAAGGGCCAUGUCAUUUAUCGUGUCAUUCCCUGCCAUGAAACUCUUUGCUGGCUCUUAACUACUCUCAGGAUCCAAUUCAAACCCCGCUGGCCCCUGCCCAUUGCCUUUAGGGAGCAGCCUAGGAUUUCCAUUCCACAAACUGGAGUUCACCUCCAGGCUUUGGCUUCAGCUCAUUCAUUUCCUUGCUCUCUUCGCACUUGCCUCUUGGCAGUCUUCCAAGGAGCCUUCAGAUCCUGGAAGGCCAGAUGAAGAGCCCUGUCUAUGUUCCUAGAGCAACAUCCUGAUGCUCAGCAAAGCACCUGCUACCCGGAUCAUGUCGCUGUCCUCCCAACCUGCAGUGGCUGUCCAUCUUAUGCGAAUAAAACAUUAAAAGUCCUCA